GAUAAACGCUAGCGGCAGGCUUAAUACAUGCAAGUCGAACGGUAACUUCGGUAGCAAUACUGAGGACGAGUGGCGCACGGGUGAGUAACACGUAUGCAAUCUACCUUUAACCAGAGAAUAUCCCGGAGAAAUCCGGACUAAUACUCUAUGACAAUAUGAAGUGGCAUCACUUUAUAUUUAAAGCUUCGGCGGUUUUAGAUGAGCAUGCGCGACAUUAGAUAGUUGGUAAGGUAACGGCUUACCAAGUCAACGAUGUCUAGGGGAUCUGAGAGGAUGUACCCCCACACUGGUACUGAGACACGGACCAGACUCCUACGGGAGGCAGCAGUAAGGAAUAUUGGUCAAUGGACGCAAGUCUGAACCAGCCAUGCCGCGUGAAGGAAGAAGGCCCUAGUGGUCGUAAACUUCUUUUAUAUGGGAAAAAUUCC
rnacentral:rRNA from 1 species